rnacentral:tRNA from 1 species
CUUGUAGCUCAGUUGGAUAGAGUGUUUGGCUACGAACCAAAAGGUCGGGGGUUCGAAUCCCUCCAAG